CUGAGGAGCGAAAGCGUGGGGAGCGAACAGGAUUAGAUACCCUGGUAGUCCACGCCGUAAACGUUGGGCGCUAGGUGUGGGGCCUGUUUCCACGGGCUCCGUGCCGCAGCUAACGCAUUAAGCGCCCCGCCUGGGGAGUACGGCCGCAAGGCUAAAACUCAAAGGAAUUGACGGGGGCCCGCACAAGCGGCGGAGCAUGCGGCUUAAUUCGAUGCGACGCGAAGAACCUUACCAGGGCUUGACAUGCACGGUGCAGCGCGAGAGAUCGCGUGUCCUUUGGGGUCGUGCACAGGUGGUGCAUGGUUGUCGUCAGCUCGUGUCGUGAGAUGUUGGGUUAAGUCCCGCAACGAGCGCAACCCUCGUCCUGUAUUGCCAGCAGCGCCUUUCGGGGUGGCUGGGGACUUGCGGGAGACUGCCGGGGUCAACUCGGAGGAAGGUGGGGAUGACGUCAAAUCAUCAUGCCCCUUAUGUCCUGGGCUGCACGCAUGCUACAAUGGCCGGUACAGAGGGCUGCGAUGCCGUGAGGCGGAGCGAAUCCCGNGAAAGCCGGUCUCAGUUCGG
rnacentral:rRNA from 1 species